rnacentral:rRNA from 1 species
UAUCUCUGUAGAGUCUGCAUAUCAAUAAGCGGAGGAAAAGAAACUAACAAGGAUUCCCUUAGUAACGGCGAGUGAAGCGGGAAGAGCUCAAAUUUGAAAUCUUCAAGGUUCUACCUUGACGAAUUGUAGUUUAAAGAAGUGUUUUCUGUUAGAUGAGUAGCAAAAGUUCCUUGGAAUGGGACAUCAUAGAGGGUGAGAAUCCCGUAUUUGGUUAUUCAUUCUAGCUUUGUGAUACACUUUCAAAGAGUCGGAUUGUUUGGGAAUGCAGUCCAAAAUGGGUGGUAAAUUUCAUCUAAAGCUAAAUAUUGGCGAGAGACCGAUAGCGAACAAGUACCGUGAGGGAAAGAUGAAAAGAACUUUGAAAAGAGAGUUAAACAGUACGUGAAAUUGUCAAAAGGGAAGCGUUUGACACCAGUGUUGUUUUUCCGAAAAUCAAUUACGAAUGGCUUGAUUUUGUGUUGUAUUGACCUUAUCAGCUUUCUUCACUUUUUUCGAGUCUUUCUUAAUGCACUUUUCGGUUAACAAGUCAACAUCAAUUUCUUUUGUUGUAAAAGAGUAUUCGGAAGGUGGCUUUCUUUUCGGAGAAAGUGUUUAUAGCCCUAUACUUCUACAAUCGGAGAGAUUGAGGUCUGCAGCGUAGAUCCUUCGGGGUUAGAUACGCUUGUGCUAAGUUGUAGCUUUUCAUAGACAACUUGUUGACUAUGUUUAGUCAUGCGGCUUACUCGCCUAGUGCUAUUUUACCUACGCUUAGGAUGUUGACUGAUAUGUAGUCGUA